CUGAAGGGAAGACCCUGCCACAAAACUCGUCGGUGUGAGCGGAGGUGGACCCUUCACCGACGGGAGGGCAGUUUCAACAUGAAAUCAGGAGGGGAGCUGCCUCCUGAAGCACAUUCCAGUUCCACGGCAAACUAAAAGUGCUCACGUACUUCAUGUUUCCGUUCUGACCCGCAACUUCACUGCCUCCGCCUAAGGACUGCUAACGUAUUACAGGGGGAAAGUCCACAUGCAG
rnacentral:lncRNA from 1 species